rnacentral:rRNA from 1 species
GCGGCGUGCCUAAUACAUGCAAGUAGAACGCUGAAGGAGGAGCUUGCUUCUCUGGAUGAGUUGCGAACGGGUGAGUAACGCGUAGGUAACCUGCCUGGUAGCGGGGGAUAACUAUUGGAAACGAUAGCUAAUACCGCAUAAGAGUAGAUGUUGCAUGACAUUUGCUUAAAAGGUGCAAUUGCAUCACUACCAGAUGGACCUGCGUUGUAUUAGCUAGUUGGUGGGGUAACGGCUCACCAAGGCGACGAUACAUAGCCGACCUGAGAGGGUGAUCGGCCACACUGGGACUGAGACACGGCCCAGACUCCUACGGGAGGCAGCAGUAGGGAAUCUUCGGCAAUGGACGGAAGUCUGACCGAGCAACGCCGCGUGAGUGAAGAAGGUUUUCAGAUCGUAAAGCUCUGUUGUAAGAGAAGAACGAGUGUGAGAGUGGAAAGUUCACGCUGUGAC